UUUUAUAGUAUGCCCUCUAAUGUAACUCUCAACACUCUCAUCCGGCACAAUGGGUGUGCUGGAAUUUGGUUCAAUCUGUUUGUUCUACUUUAGUUGCACACACAUCUGUCAAAGCCCCUUCAUCCCCUUAGGUGUGAGGAAAAUUUUCCUGUCACAAGCGCUAACAAUGAGGUCAGAUUUAUGACCUGCAAUGCCAGAUUUUAACACUGUGCACUGCAUGGCUUUGGCAAUGGCAUUUCCUAUUCAUGUGUUUUUAUUAAAAUAGCUGAGUAUUUUUAUUUUUUUUUUUGGGUUAUGAAUUAUAGAUUGAUAUAACAUAUCAAUAUUAUUGAUAAAUUGACAGAAGUAAAUCUAGUAUUUUAUUGGGUAGCACAUGAGACAGAUUAAAAUGGAAGGGGUUUAGCCUCUCUCCACAGCAGUGUAAGAGGGGCUAAGACAUUACAUGAUUUUUUAAACUUAUCUUAUUUGAUUGGCUAUAGUUAUGUUGCAUAAUUAACAGAGCCAUAAUUCAAGUGCAAUUAUUUUAUGCUAAUAGUCAAAUUACGCUAAUGCUAUAUUAAUUUCUGGUUAAGAGUUGCAAAGUCGUGGUCAGUUAAUUCCUUCAGUACUGCAUGUUAAUUCUUUUAUUUUAUUUGUAAGCAAUUUUAUCAAAGUCCUGUGUUGUGGUUUGUAAAUGUUUAUCCUAUAUAUGAUAAACAUGAAUUUUAUUCAUUGACUCCACUCCAUGACUCCACAACUCCACUCCACUCCACUCCACUCCAUAAAUUACCCCAAGCCAGUGAGAAGUGGGAGUUUAAAAUUUUGGAUUAUUCAACUGUUACAUGCAGCUGCUUCUUAAAAAAGAUCUUGGAAAACGUGUAUGCAUUGGAGGCGACAAUGUUCAAACAUGUGUUCAGGGAUACUGUCCUUUUUGAUGGCGACAACUUUAGCAUUGCAAUUAAAUUGCAGUGGGAAAGGAACAAAUAGAGGGCAGUCAAGUAGAAUUAAGAGACAUAAUAAAGGCUGUCAGGAUAAAAAAAAUUUGAAAGAGCGGCAAAGGCAACAAAAGGACAGUGAGGAAGUGAGCCAGGAUUAAAAUCUUUUAAAUCAUUAUUUUCCAGAAAUGUCUA